rnacentral:rRNA from 1 species
GAUGAACGCUGACAGAAUGCUUAACACAUGCAAGUCUACUUGAAUUGGUUUUUUAACUUAGAUUUGGGUGGCGGACGGGUGAGUAACGCGUAAAGAACUUGCCUCACAGCUAGGGACAACAUUUGGAAACGAAUGCUAAUACCUGAUAUUAUGAUUUUAAGGCAUCUUAGAAUUAUGAAAGCUAUAAGCGCUGUGAGAGAGCUUUGCGUCCCAUUAGCUAGUUGGAGAGGUAACGGCUCACCAAGGCGAUGAUGGGUAGCCGGCCUGAGAGGGUGAACGGCCACAAGGGGACUGAGACACGGCCCUUACUCCUACGGGAGGCAGCAGUGGGGAAUAUUGGACAAUGGACCAAGAGUCUGAUCCAGCAAUUCUGUGUGCACGAUGACGUUUUUCGGAAUGUAAAGUGCUUUUCAGUUGGGAAGAAAAAAAUGACGGUACCAACAGAAGAAGUGACGGCUAAUACC